CAUACCGACACGUAUACUCUGUAUACACAGUAUAUAAAACUCGCAGAAUUAGCAGCGGCAUAAUAUUUCGUAAACAGUUUAUAUGCUUAUGUGUACAUCAUUUUACAAAAUGUAUAGAAGGAUGUCGCUUUCAAACUAUUUAAGAGAUUAUAUGUCUGAUACUGAAAGUGGGGAAAUAACGUCUACAGACGAGGAAGAAGAAAUUAUUCAAAAACCUGCAAGUCAGCCAAAGUCAACGGUUUUUUACAUUAGAUUUUUCAGCUCACCUGUCAGCUUCUUUAUCUAAUGUGUUGUCAUAUCAUUCUAUUAUUUUUGACAUUGUGGAUACGAACAACGACAAGUCCUACAAUGUUACAACAGGGCGAUUUACUGCACCGUUUAAAGGAAUAUAUGUCUUUUUUAUUACAAUUACCAGCACUGAAAAACUGAAAGCGUCGUUAUGUUUUAUGCACAAGUUUAAUCCAGUUUUUCAAGCAAAUGUAAAAGAAAUGGAACAAUUAGUUGAGGGCUAUAACACAAAGACUAUGGCUGUUGUACUCAGCCUUGAAAAAGGAGAGAAGGUUUGGGUAAUGAACGGUACUAAGGUGUCAGACGUAAGUCAAAUGUUCGAGCCCUAUUAUACAUCAUUUUCUGGAGGAUUAGUUGAGAAACAGAGUACCUUGUGAGUUUAUUGAAAUGUUUUAUUGAAAUAUGUUUGAUAAUGCAGUUCUUAUUAUUUUAAGAACACUCAUAAUUGAUUGGGUAAAAUCACUUUUCAGUAAAAACAUUAUACAUCAACGGUGUAUCAUCGACAUAACUGAAGUUAUUACACUAUAAUCCCCCAUACCGUAUACAUUAUCUAACUUAUGAUAUACUACGUACAAUGCUAAUACUGCGUUAUUGGAUUUAACCUUGUGGUUAAGAAUAAACCGUGUUUACACUAUAUGUAUAUUUUUUGAAGAAUACAUGUUGUAAAAUUCA
rnacentral:lncRNA from 1 species